CAUGACCCAAUGUAUACGAUCACUUGACUUGUUUACAAAUAUUGAUAUCAAAUUCUGCGUGUUGGUCACAGAAAUAUUAGAUCUAAAUAUUUCACUGCUCAUAUUCAUUUGAAUGUUAAUGUAGUCCCUAAACAUAUAGUCUAAAGGUGUUAUUUAACUAUCGGAUAUUCAUUUGUGAUUUAGACAAAAUACUAAUUUUAUUAAAAACAAAACAGCCUGAAUAGUAUUUUAUCGUCUGCAGCAAGUCAAACACAAAUAAACUGGAACAAAAACUACCUUAGUGGAUGCCGAUUACAAUAAUGCAUAUGCUUGUGUUGGAUCCCUUGAAGGACUAAAGUUUAAAAAAGCAUCAAAUUUUUCCUCCCAGCUUUUAGUUUUACCAGUAAAAACUCAAGUGGCUUCACCAUGUAUUGCCUCCAAUGGCUGAUCCCUGUGCUUCUGAUGCCCAAGCCGUUGAACCCAGCUUUCAUCUACAACCACGCCAUGUUCAUCGUCCUCUACCUGACCAGCUUUUUCUUGGUGCGCAAGCCCUGCACCAUCUGCAGCAUGGUUUUCCUGGCGGCAGUGUUUCUCAUCUGCUACAACUGCGUGGGGAACUGCAUCCUCUGGCACUGCUCUUCAGACGAGUGCGAAGGCGCCGACUGCCAGACGACAUUUGAAACAGCCUAGCCUGGAACUGUAUGGUAAAAAUAUUUGCAGGCAGAGUCUUGAACUGUACGUCAAUAUAUAAGGCCAGGUUUCUUUAAUACAGUAACAUUUCAUUGACUACUUUUUAAAGUUAGAAAUGAACCUAUUACCACCAAUGCACAGUUUUGCAAGUCACUUUUGCUUAUAAACCUCUAUUACAACUGUAAAUACCACAUGUACAAUGCCAUUAUUCUAGUUUCCUAAUUCAGCUACAUAGAUCUGUUGUACCUUAAUUUAAAAUUUAUCCUCCACAAUGAUUUUGUGCAGGAUACAAAAGCUAUUUUUUACUCCCAAUACGCGAAAUCACUUCAAAAAGAAAGAAAAUUCUUUUCUUUAUUUGAUUUCCUUGAUGGAAAUGACUUGCCAAGGCUGUGUUAGAACGCACCUUGUAUCUCCUUACUAACAGCAAUUUAUUAUCUGAUUAUCAUCAUAAGUUUAUCCUGAACACAACAAUGUUUAUAUUUUAUUUCCAUGUCUGUUAUCAUUAUGCAGCUAUCACAGGCUUACAUCGGAUAACAAUUUAUAACUUUUUUUUUGUAAACUUGAUUGUUAAGACCGGCUGAGCUGAUGAUAAUGAUGAUGUGUAGUAUAAUAUCCACCAAUACAAACAAGACCUAGUCUAGUCAAUGAGCAAUAAACCAACAGCUGUUCAAACAAUAAAAUAACUACUGUAUUUUGGAAACAAAAAGUCUAUUUAUAACCCAAUUUCUUAAAUAUUUACCUUUGAAAAAUUUAAGUAAUUGAAAUAUUUCUUCAUCAGCACCUAAAUUUUUCACUAUUUUUUAACACCAAUGUAGAUGCACUUAUGUGGUUUUAUUAUAUAUUUUUUUACAGUUACUUAUUCUAAGCCAUAUUGUUUAUUUUUUUAAGGAGACAUAGCUUUAUAUUUUUAUUUAUGCUAGAUUGUGAGUACGCUUCUAAAGUCUAGACUUAAAGCAGUUAUACUUAAUUGCCGUUUCUAAAUAUUUUGUUUAUGUUUCAUUGCCUGACUUAUUUUUUUCCCACCUUGUGAUACACAACUCAUUUUGGUGUUCAGUGUUUGAUUCUGGGAGGGUUAGGACUAAACUGGUGUAAGGGAAACAACCCUGAACUUAACUCUGGUGAGAAUGCAGGGACACAACUCCAGAAACAGUUCUGCAUUUACAAAACACUGAACACAAAAAAAUAUUUGUCUUUAAACCAUACUAGUACAAUGAACUAUUGUAAUUCGCUGCUGAUUUUUUUUACUGCUAACAUUUGUCUUCUAAUUUCUUCCAAUAUCAGCUUCAUAUUGUUGUUUAUAACUUUUGGGGUGGAUUUGUUCAUUAGAAAUGUCAAGUUUUUUAUGCCUAUAUUACUUGGUGAAGGGCUCAGAGCUUUCUUGGAAUCAUUAAAUUGCAUCGUUAUCAUACAGAUAAUUAAUAGACAACCAACUAGAAACAUUUACUUUUUUCAAGGAUCUUCUUCUAUUAGUUAAUUAGAGAAAUUAAUUUUAGUUCAAAUAUCUUCUUCAGGUAUUAGAUUAGAGAAAUUAAUCUUACUACAAGUGUUUUUUUUUUACCAUUAUAUUGUUGAAAUGAAUUUUAGUUCAAAUAUCUUCUAGCAAUUAAUUAGAGAUAUUGAGUUUAAUUCAAGUGUCUUCUUUUGCCAUUAUAUCUGUGAAAUGAAUUUUAGUUUUAGUUCAUAUAUCUGCUAGCAAUUAAUUAGAGAAAUUAAUUUGCAUUUUACGUAAUGCUGAAAAUUGUUUUAGAGUAUCAAAUGUAUACUACAGCAUUUGAGAGAAUUUUUUCCACAAUGUUCAGGCCAGAAACAAAUACACCAUACACAAAACACCCAUUACAUUUCUACAUGUUUAUAUAGAGCUUAUGCCUUCUGUCUGCCUUAUUAGUCUAUGGACUUGGCUGUGGAUGUGUGCAUGAUACACAAGAACUAGCUUGUUAGAACAUGCAAUAGUAUCAGCUUUUGUUUUAGACUUAAAAGACCUGGGCAUGGAAUAGUGUGAAAUUUUAAAAGACCUAGGCAUCUAAUAGUGUAAAAUUUAUGGAGACAAAGAUGGCUGGGUAGGUGUAGUGUAUGUACGAAGCAGAAAGUAAAUGUAUAACAUUACUUUAUAUUCUACAGAUAAAAAUGCUAGUCAAUGUUUAUUCCAAAUAUUUCAAAAACCUAGAAAUGCUUUUUUGUAUUUCUUAUACAUGGUUUGAAUAAUUGCACAUUUGAAAUAUGUAUACAUUUUUUCUUAUCUUCAAUUAUAAAUGUGUUAUUUUUUUUAUUUUUUAAAUCUUGUAGUAUGGUGGUAAGAUUGUUACUGAUAAUGUAGGUAGUUGUAUCCUCUUGUGUAUGAGGAUGUUUAAACGGAGUAUGAAACAGCAGUAAUGGAGGGCGUGUUGUUAAAUCUUUCACCCUCUGUCCUGCGUCAGUUUGUCAGCUGACUUUACCUCUCUGUUGACGUCAAUAACAGAUGCAAAAAUGGCAGGACGAAAUAUGAUGCAAUGGUUAUAUUUUUAAACGUUUACACUGAGAAUAAUGUUUUUUCACGCCCAAGUCCUUUACAAUACAGUGAUAGAUGUUUCAUGAGUUGUAAUGAUAAAUAUUGUUUAUAUCCUUUUGUUAGUAUAAAGUGAUAUCAACUAUAUAUUAUAAAAUGUUACAGCUAAUUAUAACUAAUAGAGUACAUUUUUUAAAAGAAUGUUAUUAUUGCUUUUGGUCUAUCUUAAGAUAACAUUAACAAUUCUACAUCUAAUGCUGUUGAUAUAAGUCUAUUUCAACUAUUUCACCAGUUCUUUCCCCUUGUCUCAUUAUUGAAUCAUGCACUGUUUAUAUUUAAUUUUUUUUCUCUCUGUAUUUUAAUUUAUUUCCCAGUUGUUAUCCACAAUAGCUGUUUUAUGCAUUGUAAAAUAUACUGAAUGAUC